GAGCUCUGGUCCAUCCCCCUCCUAGCCCAGAGCUCCUCCCUUCCAGGAGACACAGGAAGGGAAGUUCUAGUUUCCUUGCUUUCUCGGAAACCCAGCACACCUCAUCAAUGUGACUAGGGAUGCUGUGGCAAGUCAGGGCUCCGGCUUGGCUUCAGGGUCCCAUGGAGACAGGUCCAGCCGUGCUUCAGCCCUGGGCUCAAGCCAUGGAAGGGAGAGACGCGGUCCAGGGGCAGGAACGGGAAGAGCUGCUGGACACCCAGAGCGUCAUCACCACAGCAGAAGGCAAACUCCAGCCCUGCCCGCCACCUCCACUUUGCUAAAACAAGCCAGAGAAGAACUGCAGGCCUUCCCAGAGGACCAUCACCUGCCGGCCUCCCUAGCAGCUGAAUAGACCUGGAAAACUGAGGCAAGGAGAAGUUACAGCUGGAAAACUGAGGCAAGGAGAAGUUAAAUGCCUUGACAGAGGCCAUCCAGUGUGUAAGAGGCAGAGGCAAGAUUCAAACCCAGGACUCUCAGGUACCAAGCCAAGCUCUCUCUUAGAGACGGGCUGCUUCUCCUGCCUCAGGGUAAAAGCUACUCUCAUCCAGACAUUCAGCCUUGGGCUACAGUGUGUGUCACCUCAGGGGAAAGUCCGUUUCUCCUGGAAGCCAGGGAGAGGUCUCAGGGUGAUCCAGCCUGGAGCUUUCUAUCGCCCAUGUUGGGAGCAUGGGAAGCGGGUGUUUUUCUUCCUUGCAGCCUUGGUGGCAGUUUCCUACAGUAUAUCCGCACUGGAGAAUGACAGGAAGAAGGCGCUUCCGGCUGGCACAGGGAGGAGCCUGCCUCUGCCUGCCCUACAGAGAAGGGAUUUUAAUUUUUUUUCUUUUUGCUCCAAAGUAGCAGCCACUCUGCCUUGCCCUUGGACAGGGAACACAGGAGAAUUAGGAAAUGAUGAGUUUGGAGUAGUUAUUACAUUUGUUUUUAAUACAAUUGAUUAAGUUGAUAUAAUUUUGUAUUUAACAAUGGCUGUGUUUAACAGCUGUUUCCAAAAUGCCUGAAAAUUGAGCACUCAGCACUCAUGAACCAAUAUUAUGUAGGACCAAUUACUUCUCAGCGCUGUUGUAAAUCCAAAUACGAUAAUGUCAGUGUUCACCAGCAGGUUGAUGGAAGCAGCUGUGUGACCUUGGACAAGCUUCUUAACCAGUAUAAACGGUCUUGCACAUCUGUAAAAUGAAGAUAAUAGGAUGUAUAUAGGUAAAGAACCCAGCGGGGGUAGGCUGGGUGGGGUGGCUCAUGCCUGUAAUCCCAGCACUUUGAGAACAAGGUGGGUGGAUCACUUGGGCCCAGGAUCACCUGGGCCCAGGAGUUUGAGACCAGCCCUGGCAACAUAGGGAGACCCUGUCUCUAAAAAAUAUAAUAAAGUAAAAUGAAAAAGAACCUAGCUAGGGUGGGACAAGGGUGACAACAGCACUCACAACGGACCAGGCACUCGGUCUCAGGGUAAGCAGCUGAAUGCCUCCUUAAAUUGUAUACAGUAGGCCCCUCACUUGCCUGACACUUGUCUGAGCUCCACUCUUGGCACAUAGUAGGUGUGUGCUAUUAUUUACUACAAGAGCUUCAAGGUGGGUGUAACCUAACAGUGACAUCAAGAUGAGGAAAGUUAUCUAUGAACACAUGAGAAAAACACCAGUGCAGUACAUUAUCCUGGGGCAUAUGGUAGAUACCCAGUGAGCCUUUCAGGUAAUGAGGGUUGUAUUUCAGCAAUAACCCCCACAGCCUGCCAAGGAGACAUAACUAGAAGAUUUAGGGCUGUCUCUGGAAACACCAGUGGCAAGCAAUCAUUUCUUUGCAUUAUUUUGAAAGAUAAAAAAUACUAAUCUUCAAAAUGUACUUUCUGCUGCAUAGUAGGUAGAUAUCCACUGUGAGAUUGUUCUCCCCUAACAACGCUUCUAGUGAAAUUGACAACGGGGAAAGCUGGGCCUGUUGACUCUGUGGCUUCCCUAGUUUCCUGACACAACACUGGGCACCUACCACCCGGAGUCGGUGGUUGAGGGAGAGGAAGAUGCUAAGAUGCUGGCCCUAUGGGGGCAGGGGAGGGCUGUAUGGGCUGGAGGAGGUGAGAUUUCACUCAUUGAGGAUGUACAGAAGGGGAAUUGGGGUUGAUGCCUCGAAAAGGAUGGCUGGAAAAUUCUGAAAGUAUACAGUUCAAAGGAGUCAACUCUCAAAUCUCUUCCCUAAAUCACCUGCUUUUAAUGCGAUAUUUGGGCAGAUUCAGGAUUAAUAGUGAGGUAUUGUGAUAAGAGCUUUGGAUUUGGAAUUAAAAGGCUUGGUUUCUACCCCUUACUACUUCCAUAACCUUGGGCAAAUCAUCUGACCUUCAGAAGCUUCACUUCUCCAUUUGUAAAGCCGGGACCAUUGUGAGGAACAGAAGAAAUGAAGGGUUUUCAUGUGAAUGUUCCCAAUGGCCAUGAACUGGUUGACCAUUUGAAAAUCCCCAGUCAAUGGUGCCAAGAGCCAGGAAGAAAAUUCCACUGGCCUCCAAGAUGCAUCAGGAGCACCCAGGUGAGGGUCAUUCAUGCAGAUCAACCUUGCCCAGGAAUAUUUCAACUCAGCACGCUUAGUUCACAUUCAGCUUCCCAUGUACUGCUACUGCAAGAACAUUUCUGCUUCCUGGACUGGAAGGAGGGGCUUCCAUUACAAUCACUGCAGACUUGAGGUCUGACUGUCAACGAUGAUCCAAGCCCUUUAGCAAGUCCACACCACCACGGAGCAAGGGUAGAGGCCGGAGGCUUGAAGCCUUUCUUCACCUAGAAGUCUAGCUCCCAAGUCCGGGAGGAUCUCCUCCCUCUGAAGGGGAGCUGGCCUUGGAUCUCAUUCCUCCCUACCCUAUCUGGGUUUUUAGAUCCGGCCUUGGGAGAACCCUUGGACUUGUUCUCUUCCAAGCCUGAUGGUGCCUCAGGAACACAAUGGGGUUUUACACAGCAGCAGGUUAACUAAGAAAGAGAAGUGAAGUGAAGGAGAAAAGACCAGAGACCUUUGGAAGGCUGGCAGAUUCAACCAAACAUGAGCUGUGGGGCAGUGGGGAGGUGAGUGACCCAAAGGUGGAAGUCUCCCUCAGGCAGCCCAAGGGACAGACCAUGGCUGGACAUCUCUCUCCCUCCCCAUGUCUCUACCGGAGCUAUCACUCCACCCAAGGUAAACAGCAGAGCCAUAUUGUUCACUGUUUCAAAGCUGUUUUACUUGGCUUUUUAUAAGUGUAUUUCUUCCAUGUUUUAUGUGGGGAGGGAAAUUAAUACCUCCUGGUGAUGCCACCUGCAUUUGAAAUAGCUGUCAUUUUCUUAUGCUCGAAAGUAAACUUCCUUUAAGGAUUGAUAAACGAAGGAAAGUAGUAAUAUCCUAUGUUAUACGCACCUGGUUCUUUCCACAAAAAUAUCUUUUUUUAAGGAAAAAAAUUCUUAUUAGAUAAGCAAGUACAAAUCUUUUGGAAAAGAAUAAACUGCUGAAUUCCAAUAACAUGUCUUUGACUCAAUCUAACUCUCAGAUUGGCUCUUUUCAGCUCUCCCACCCACACCCAGAGGUCACUGCUUUCUUAAAGAUGACCAAGGCAUGCUGUAAUCCCAACACUUUGAGAGGCCAAGGUGGGUGGAUCACUUGAGGUCAGAAGUUCAAGACAACCCUGGCCAACAUGGAGAAACCCUGAUGCUACUAAAAAUACAAAAAUUAGCCAGGCAUGGUGGCAGAUGCGUGUAAUUCCAGCUACUCAGGAGGCUGAGGCAGGAGAAUCACUUGAACCUGGGAGGCGGAGGUUGCAGUGAGCCAAGAUGGCACCACUGUACUCCAGCUUGGGCAACAGAGCAAGAUUCCAUCUCCAAAAAAAAAAAAAAAAAAAAGACCAAAGCGAAGGACAACGUUUAACAGAAAGCGUCAGUGGAGAAGGUGCUGUAGGACAGAGUUUCCCACACUCCAGCCAACAGCUUCUGACUCCUCCUGUGCCUAAAAUAGUAGAAUAAACACUGGUUUUGAUUGUCCACCAGAUCACAAGAUGCCUAAGGGCAUGCGCAUGUGGUAGACUGUUUGCAAAAAUGACUACAAGUGUUCCUCUUCCUGUAUCUAUCCUCCUAAAUAUGACUUUGUAGUUUCUCCCACUGAGAGGUGGAGUCUAUUCUUGAAUCUGAACUGGCCUUGUGAUUUGCUUUGGCCAAUGGAAUGUAAUGGAAGUAAUGUGCCAGUUCCAAGUCUAGCUCUCUGAAGCCUUGCCUGCCCACAUUCAUUCUCUUGGAGUGCUGCUGCUACCGUGAGAACAAGCCCCACCUAGGGCUGGGGGAUGAGAGACCAUGUGGAGCACCGAUAAGCUGUCCCAGCCGAGGCCAUCUUAGACCACCAGCCCCAAACCCACCUGCCAGCUGACUGCAGAUAUACAAGAAAGCCCAGAUGAGGCCAGAAGAACCAGCUACGUUAGCCCAGCUCAAAUUUCCCACCCACCAAAGUGUGAGCUAAAUAAGUGGUUGUCACUUUAAGCAUUAAUUUUU